rnacentral:misc_RNA from 1 species
UUGAUUUUCUAGUAAAGGAUUGAGCUGUGCCCUGAAAGGGAGCACGCUCGUUCCGAUACACUUACACCUGUGCACCUUUGACCCGCUUAGUCGGGUCCUUACACACACUAUUGAUCUUAGAAUGUUUUAUUUGAUAAAAUUAUGA